GACGAACGCUGGCGGCGUGCUUAACACAUGCAAGUCGAACGGAAAGGCCCCCACCUUUGGUGGGGGUGCUCGAGUGGCGAACGGGUGAGUAACACGUGGGUGAUCUGCCCUGCACUUCGGGAUAAGCUUGGGAAACUGGGUCUAAUACCGGAUAGGACCAUGGUUUAGCAUCUCAUGGUGGAAAGAUUAUUGUUUUGGUGUAGGAUGAGCCCGCGGCCUAUCAGCUUGUUGGUGGGGUAAUGGCCUACCAAGGCGUCGACGGGUAGCCGGCCUGAGAGGGUGGACGGCCACAUUGGGACUGAGAUACGGCCCAGACUCCUACGGGAGGCAGCAGUGGGGAAUAUUGCACAAUGGGCGCAAGCCUGAUGCAGCGACGCCGCGUGGGGGAUGACGGCCUUCGGGUUGUAAACUCCUUUCGUUAGGGACGAAGCCACAUUUUUUUGGGUGGGGACGGUA
rnacentral:rRNA from 1 species